GAGUGAACCCUGGCGGUAGGCCUAACACAUGCAAGUCGAACGGCAGCACAGUAAGAGCUUGCUCUUACGGGUGGCGAGUGGCGGACGGGUGAGGAAUACAUCGGAAUCUACUUUUUCGUGGGGGAUAACGUAGGGAAACUUACGCUAAUACCGCAUACGACCUACGGGUGAAAGCAGGGGAUCUUCGGACCUUGCGCGAUUGAAUGAGCCGAUGUCGGAUUAGCUAGUUGGCGGGGUAAAGGCCCACCAAGGCGACGAUCCGUAGCUGGUCUGAGAGGAUGAUCAGCCACACUGGAACUGAGACACGGUCCAGACUCCUACGGGAGGCAGCAGUGGGGAAUAUUGGACAAUGGGCGCAAGCCUGAUCCAGCCAUACCGCGUGGGUGAAGAAGGCCUUCGGGUUGUAAAGCCCUUUUGUUGGGAAAGAAAAGCAGCAGGUUAAUACCCCGCUGUUCUGACGGUACCCAAAGAAUAAGCACCGGCUAACUUCGUG
rnacentral:rRNA from 1 species